GCCCGCGCUCCCGCCCGCCGCCUCACGGGGGAGGCCGCGCGCCGCCGCCUCAGGCGGCCCCUCCGCGGGGGAGGCCCCGCCGGGGGUGAGGCGGCCCCGGGGACGCGCAGAGCCCGGCGGAGCGGGCGCCGCUGCCCCUGCCCCUUCCCCGCUGCCGCAGGGCACCGGACACGAACGUUGCACCAGGCCAGAGGCACCCUUGUAUUUAACGCGUUCCUCGACGGGAUGGGAAACUGUUCUGUCAGCUCAGCACCCAGCGAGGGAUGGUCCCUGUCACUUGGUAGCAGAUGGUUUCAGCCUUCGGUGACCGAUUUCUUGGCUCGUUAACCCCAAGAAAUGUCAGAACAAAACUUCUUUGGUUUCAAGAUCCUUCCUACAGGAGAAGCUGUUGCUGAGUUCGGGGCCGCGACAGUUGAGCCGGAGGGAUGAGCAGGAUGAAACCCACAGCCCUGCCCAACCUCUGUAUGUAGCUAUGGAGUAAUUAAUUGGGCAAAUUAAUUAGUUAAUGGUUCUACUGCACUUCGAAGAUAGUGAAUUACUAAGUAAAAGCUACAUAACUUUGGUUUUUUCCACUCUAUAUCACUGGGUAAUUGCCAGCAUCACAGCACGGCUGGGUAAGGAAAUAGUGUUUAAAAUACAGAGAAAAGCUUAUAUUUGAUGGCUGAUAAACCUAAUUUAAUGUCAGGCAGGGAGAGCUGGAUUUUCUUGGAAUUGUGCCUUUGCCCCUUUGCGCAUUUUGGAGGAGGCGGAUGUAAAUCUGUGGCACCGUGAUGUCACCAGGCUGCUGUGACCGGCCACAGGCGGGCAGGCCAGGGACACGAUCACAGCGCUGGCAGCGGUACAUUUCUCAACGAGUUGAAAAGCGGCAGGAGGCUGAGUGCAGGAGAAGGAUGUCUGUACGGUGACAUCCUGGGGCCACUGAGGCUGCUGGCACUUUUGCUGCUGGAUUCAGUAAAGCUGGGGCUUCACCCAGAGCAUUUUGUUUGUUUUGGAAAUGAGGGUUUUGAAGGUAACGAAUGUCUGAGGCCAGGUCUCCUCUGCAGAUGGGAUGUACCAGAAACGCUCUCUAAAGCCUGGACUCUUGCUGCCUCCUCUGACUUUGGCCCUAAUUCAAGAAAGCACUUAAUAUACACAUAAAUACAUUUCUCAUCAGCAAAGCUUUUGAGCAAACACCUCAUUUAAAGAUUUGCUUAUCUCUUAAUUCAUUGGUUAAGAAGUAAGGUAUUACUUAAUACGAGUCAAAAGGAGGAUAAUCUAGCUGUAAAUCCUUACCAUUUGUAUCCUUUAUAACCAGAGCUUAGUCAUCUUUUGACCGGUGACGCACAGCACUCAUUUCUUGCUGAAUAAAAUUUUAGAAGCACAGCCAAUUUUUCACAGAGACUUGGAACUGUGCCCUUUCUCAGGUUUUAUGAAUGUGAAGCUCAAGGUCCAUAGCAUGCAGUGAUAACCUAACGCAAGGUCAUGUUUUGUUAGAAUAACAGCACCUAAAUCUUCAAUUGUGACAGUGGGGUCCAGCUCUGCUUUUAGAUUUUAUCGAAUUUCAUAAGGAUUCUGAUGUGCAGAACAAGUUCGAGCUGUGACAGCAAUAAAGGCAAUUGCAAAAUGCUGGAGAUUACCAAGCUUGAAACUGUAAAGGUCAGAUCCUGCUCUACACUUCCCAGUUCUCACGUGUAUUUAGAUCCGAGAUAUCCUGCACGUUUAGCUCCCCGCUCUGUGGUUCAGCGAGGCGGAAGAAAAUCAUCUUUACCUUUGGAAAAUUCCACCACAGCACUAUGUUUUCCUCUCAAAACUCCAGAAUCUCAUGUCAUGAAUGAUAUAUAUUGUCUCAAAGGAAAUCAUCUGAGGGGAAAAUAAAAAAAUCCUCAUGGCCUUAAUUUUAAGUGUGCGCUUCUGAGACAACAUGGGGGGGAAAAGUGCUUGUCCAGAUUUUGGGAGGAAUUUGUACUGUCCCUGCCUGUUUUUUACCAUUCGGUAGCCAUAGCAGGAUAAUUGGAUUUUACCGAUUACUCUCUGAUUUGAGUGUGGAUCCUUGGACACUCAGCAAACUUUGCUCCAGCUGCCCCAUUCUGCAGCAGCCCACAUCAGCACAGAAUUUAAAUGGAGAUUUAAUAGUCCAGCAGGUGAGAACCUGCAGAAAAUCCACUUGGUAUCCUGACUAUAUAAUGGAGUGAAGAAAAGGCUUCUAAUUCAAGACACAGAGUGGUGAAUGUCAGUUUAUUGAGAAGCCAAGGGAAACAGGAGAAUAUGUGCCCUCAGAAAUCUGGUUAUACUUCCAAAAAUAUACCGCAGGAACAUUAGAUGCCACUGGGAACACACAUAGUAGAGCUAAGUGCUCAGCAAAGCAUGCUAACCUAAUUUCACCAGUACAUGAAAGAAGAAAAUCCUGACUCAUAUUUUAUGAAAAUUGUUAUGGUGAAUCAGCAAAUUACUUCUGUUCAUCUCCUCCAACGUCAGCACGCUGAAGUCUGGAGCAACUUGAACUAAUCUUGGGGCACUUGUAAAUAGAAUAUAUUCAGACCAGCCAAAGCUGGGCUAAAUGGAAGCAAUUCGUCAUCGAUGGACAGCUGGAAAGAUCAGAAAAAUGCUAUUUCCUGACUGUUCUGACAGAAGGAAAGGCAGUGUCUGUGUGUGCCUUUCCUUUAUCAGAUCCCAAAUAAACUAAGGAAUUUGUGGCCAUUAUAACAAGAUCUCCCUGGAUGGCAAAGGCUGGUGUUUUUAUGUAUGUGCCCCUUCGUACAUAUCCCUGUGGUGGCAGGGAAGAAAACAAAAUUGCACAGAAAUGUAUAACGUGAUCUGCCUUGUUCAGCCGCUAAUCUGAUCUUCUCUCCUAGUAAAGCUCAAAUAAUUUGAUUGUGUGUGUAGGGCAUUCUGGAGCACCUGAGGGAUGAGAAUGAAAUCCUGCCAAAAUACUGUAGACAAGCAGAGAAGCUACUGAGAUGCUUCCCUGCAUCGGUACUCAAACUGCAUCAUGAAAUUCCUGCUGGUCACUCUCAAGCACAGGUGAUCUCCUGCUGCGGGGCUUUUCCAGCCAGCCCGGAGCCCUUGGGGGCUCAUGGCUGCAGUCAAGCAGCCUCUUGAACUGUUCUUUCUACAAAAGGGACAGGGGAGGAGAUCAGGAUAAGGCCCCAAAGGGUCCUUGUGCAAAGAGGGGGUUGGAAAGAGAAAGGCUGAUGAAAGCCAGGAUCAAAAGUUCAUGCAAGCUGAGUUGUGUUGGUUUGUUCUUUCCACUACCCACGAUGAACAGGGCAUCCAGCAAUCUCAACAGUAGCUUAUGGACCUGGACCUCUUGUCAGUGCUGAUAGAUAGGGUGGGUGUCAGAGGAUGGACCAGACUUCUUCCAGUGGUGCCAAACAACAGGAUAAGGGGCAACGGGCACAAAGUUAAACACGGGAAGUUCCAUGUGAAUAUGAGGAGAAACUUCUUCAUUUUGAGGUGCCAGAGCCCUGAACCAGGCUGCCCGGAGACAUUGUGGAGUCUCCUCUGCAGGCAUUCAAACCCACCUGGACGCGAUCCCCUGUGAUCUGCUCUGGUGAACCUGCUUUAGCAGGUGGGUUGGACUGGAUGAUCUCCAGAGGUCCUUCCAACCCCAACCACCCUGCGAUUCGGUGGGUCUGAAAAAGGCACUGACGGAGGUUUCUGAGGUUUUGUGGUCACAAGGAGUGAGGAAAUCACCAGCUCUGAAAGGCCUUUGGGUCUUCUCCCAGCCUGCCCUCUGCCCUAUCAGUCACACUUCUGCUACAAUAAACGAGAGCUUUUUUUUCCCCCCUGAGCAAAUAAUUACAGAUUAAAAAUCACUGAACCUUCCAAAAACUUUGGCUAAUUUAUUCAGCCUAGCUUUACAGUGUUGUUUGCCUUGCAGGAUAGACAGAUAGUUGGGAAAACAUCAUUUCAGCUGUGAAAACAGGGAAAAAACCUAAAAGUUGCCCAAAAUAAAAUGCAAAAGUGUAAAGCAGUCUCUGUGAUGCUUUGGAGGUUCUUGUCUUCCUCCAGCGCAACAGUUGGAUUUAACCACAGCUACACAACCUGUUAGGCUGGCAGGGCCAUUCCUGGGUAUUGUAUUGAUUUAUUAUUGAAAGAAACAUUCAUUUCUUUAAAUAAAUGAUUUUGUAUUUUU